rnacentral:tRNA from 1 species
GCUCCUUUAGCUUAGUGGUAGAGCAUCACACUUGUAAUGUGAAGGCCGCGCGUUCAAUUCGCGCAGGGAGCU